ensembl:lncRNA
AGCCUGAUGAGGUUGUGAAGAAGAUAAGCAGAUGAUGGGCAGCUGAGAAACCUGAGCCAACAGGUGGGGCAAGUGGUUUGGAUGUUAGGCCCAGAGGGAGGGAGUUGCAAGUUCAAGGCCUGGGAGUGAGGCUUUCUGUGCUUGGUGGUGGUGAUGGGUAUUUCAGCAAUCUGGGGCUUAGCCGUUGGGGUUGGGGGAUGGGUGGGGAGAGCAGAACCCAGCAGCCUGCCUCUUCUGCCACCUCUUCUUCGGCAGCUUUUCUAAGGGACCAGAUUCCGUUUACCACUGUCACCCUAAUUUUAUCUGUUUGACUUCAUAGAGGCCUUAAUUAAUUUUCUGGACCAUGAGCCGUGCCUUCACGGAACACAGAGGGCUGAUCAGAUUUCCAGUGCUUGACCCGUGGAACAGUGGUGGCUCUUCUGAACAGCUAAGACAGGAGUCCAGGAAGGAUACUCCCAUCGAAGCUGCUUGGAUGAAGCUUAGCUACUGUCGGUGGCAUUGGUUUCUCGUGCCUUUUGACCUUGAAUUUGGCACUAACUUGCUGUGGGAACUUGAACCUUUCUCCAUGGAUGACCACUGGAGUCUUGGGGCCAGAAACCCAGAGCUGACGAUGGCAUGAAAGAUCGAGCAGCUAACCACACAAGGAGCGUGAUUGCCUCCAGGAGGUGCAGACACCCACCUUCAUGGUUUCAUUGAGUAUCUCCUCUGGGUCUGACUCAAGGCACAAAAAGAAGACAUCUGACUGAGGAGAUGGACACAUGUCCCAAGUGAGUUAAAGUGCAGACCCCAGAGAGCCCCUUCCAGACCUGGCUGAAGGAAUUUACAGAUGCGGCCAGGAGGGCCUCAGCUUCAUGAAUGGCCUCAAGUUCAGACUCUGAUGUCAUUGUUUACAUUGUCUACACUGACAUGUCUACUGGAUCUACUCUGACAAGACUGAUAGAUGACAUUCAUCAUAUGAUAUUAAAAUUGUGUCCAUUUUUUAGAUGACAAUUUGUGAAAUGUAAGGCAGAGGGACUUGUCCCCGAUGACAGUUGUGUAAAUGGCUUCAUUGAGACUUGAACCAAAACACUUAUGGCAUCUCAAAACCUCAGGCUGAGGUGGAGAGAGCUUUUAGGUUGUGAAGACUGCAAGGACAUUCCCAUGGAGCCAAGAUGGCGAGUGAGUGGAGCAGAGAGAGGACGGUACCGUCUGUGGUCCUGUGGGUUCUCACAUGCUGGAGGGGCCUUAUGUACUCACUGCAUUUAGGUGGACAUCAGAAACCAUAAAUUCUGUCAAAUUUCCUUCUAUCAACACAGAAACCAGGUUGAGAGAGACUCUCUGUGACUUAAGGUUACCCAGCAAAUUGUUGGCGGAGUCUAGCCUAGAAGCCAGGUGGUUAAUCUGUCAUCCCGGUCCUUUUUCACCAUCCCAUACAUUCACUAUACUUAAAACACGUGCAUGCCAGGCCCAGGAAGCAAGUUUUUGUGGGUGUAACUUUUUGCGGGUGCAGCUAGACACUGCCACACUCUCCACCGAGACAAAUCCAUACCUGAAGACAUCCUCCAAUGGCCCCCGAGCCCAGGCAGGGAAGGGCUGUAGGCGACUAGAUCACGCAUGCCCAUCGAAGCCACCACCUUCUCCUCUGCUCUGGCCUAUUGCUGCCAAGCGGCAACGUGGGCCCUGGAUUCUCACACCUUCUGACUGGAUAAGGGAAAUAGGAAGUCCGGAUUUUAAAUGGAAUCUUCUCACAUUUUAAAUAUCGGCAAUUCAAAAAUUAAAAAAACACACAACCGCAAACAAAAAACAUGGUGUGAGCCAAACAAAACACAGCCACAUUUUGGCACCUCGCUUCCAAUUUGCAAUCUCUGUUGUAGAGAAUCAUUGAGAGUUUGGGUUUUGAUCCUUCUGAGGGUUGGUUUGAGGGAAUUUUGGGUGGAGUAAAUUGUAAUUAGCUGUAUGCAGAAUGUUGUAAUGUCGGUAUUUAAGAACAGUUCAU